UCUACGGGAGGCAGCAGUGGGGAAUAUUGCGCAAUGGGGGAAACCCUGACGCAGCAAUACCGCGUGAGCGAAGAAGGUUUUCGGAUCGUAAAGCUCUGUUAUUGGGGAAGAAGAAGUGACGGUACCCAAUGAGGAAGUCCCGGCUAACUACGUGCCAGCAGCCGCGGUAAUA
rnacentral:rRNA from 1 species